GACGAACCGUGCGAACGUUGUUCGGAAUCACUGGGCUUAAAGGGCGCGUAGGCGGUUUCUCAAGUCCGGGGUGAAAUCUUUCGGCUUAACCGGAAAAGUGCCUUGGAUACUGAGAAGCUGGAGGGAGGUAGGGGCAGCUGGAACUUCCAGUGGAGCGGUGAAAUGCGUUGAUAUUGGAAGGAACGCCGGUGGCGAAAGCGAGCUGCUGGAUCUCUACUGACGCUGAGGCGCGAAAGCUAGGGGAGCAAACGGG
rnacentral:rRNA from 1 species